AGAUUCACAUACUUCACACGUAAAAUGUUUUUUGUAAUAUAAUUAUGAUUAAUUGAUCGAUUUAUUAGAUAAUAAUUUACAUUAUUCGCAGUUGUCUGCCAUGAUUGUCAUGUCGCGCAACUUAUACAGUUUACGAUACACGUGCAACGUUUAGUGCUUGAUAUACACAUAUAUGUUUGAAUUUAAGAAACAUUUUAUUUUAUUUUAUGUACAGAAAGUAUAUUUUGCAUAAUAUAAAUAAUCAUCAUGUUGAAAACGAAAGUUUUCUUUAGAAAAACUAAGGGAGGAAAGGUUUUUAAGACUGUUAGAGAACAUUAUCUCAGAGAUGAUAUUCACUGUGGUUCUAAAGCAUGUGAUAAAUGCUUGUACAGAAACCGGAAUAUAAUUUUAGAUGAUGAAGAUUCAGGUGUAAAAAGCUCAAAACUAUUGUAUCCAUAUUACCUUCUACUUGAUACUAACAUUAUUUUAGAUCAGAUUGAUGUUUUGGAAGAAGAUGUUAUCUGUAAUGUAAUAAUAUUACAAACAGUGUUAGAAGAAAUAAAACACAGAAGUUCUACUGUAUAUAAGAAAUUGAAGGAUGUAAUUGCUAAUACACGUAGAAAAUUUUAUGUAUUUGUUAAUGAACAUCAUAAAGAAACUUACAUUGAACGUAAUCCAGGUGAAAGUGCAAAUGACAGAAAUGAUAGAGCAAUCAGAGUUGCAGCAAAAUGGUAUAACAUGCAUUUAAGUUCUCUUGGUUGCAAAAUGAAAACUGUGUUAUUAACUGACGAUAUUCGUAAUAGAGAGCUGGCAAUUGCAGAAGGAAUCCCGGUUCUUUCGAUGGAGGACUAUGUUACUUCAUUGGAAAAUUCAGGAUUUCUGGCAGAUAAAUUAUGUAAAAAGAGUUACGGCACAGAUUCCGAUGGUCAAACAGUUUUUCCAUGUCACCUUACACCAUCUGAAUUACACGAAGGUAUCAAAAAUGGCAAACUUCUACAAGGAACAUUUGCCAUAUCAAGAGAAAAUUUCCUUGAAGGAUUCGUUAAAGUUGAAAGGGCCGAGAAAGAGAUUUUUAUCCAAGGUCGUAGUAACCUUAAUAGAGCAGUUGAUGGUGAUACAGUUGCAUUAGAACUCUUAGCAGAGGAUCAGUGGUCAUCUCCCAGUGACAUUGUCUUACAAGAUGAAGAAGCAGAUGUUGAUGAUGUGAUAGAAACUGAGAAAGUAUUAGAUAAAAUUAAUUCUUCAAACAAAAUGCAAAAGACACCAACUGGGAAGAUUGUUGGUAUUAUUAGGAGAAAUUGGAGGCAAUAUUGUGGGAUACUUCAGCCUAGUAAUAUAGAAGGGAAUGUGAGACAUUUGUUUGUGCCAGCUGAACGAAAAAUACCUAAAAUAAGAAUUGAAACUAGACAAUACUCAGUGUUAAGUAAACAAAGGAUUAUCGUUGCCAUUGAUUCUUGGCCGCGUAAUUCAAGAUAUCCUCUUGGUCAUUUUGUACGUGCAUUGGGUGAAAUAGGAGAUAAAGCGACCGAAAACAAAGUAAUACUUUUAGAGCACGAUGUUCCGCAUAGUAGAUUCUCCGAUGCAGUUCUUAGUUCACUUCCGAAGAUGCCAUGGCGCAUCACAGAUGCUGAUUUAGUACAAAGAGAAGAUCUUAGACACCUGGAUAUAUGUUCAGUUGAUCCACCAGGAUGUACAGAUAUUGAUGAUGCGCUUCAUUGUAGAGAACUACCAAAUGGUAAUCUUGAAGUAGGUGUACAUAUCGCGGACGUAACGCACUUUAUUAGACCUGGAACUGCAUUAGAUAAAGAGGCAGCUUUACGAGCUACGACCGUGUAUUUGGUUGACACAAGGAUUCAAAUGAUUCCAGAACUACUCAGUACAAAUCUUUGUUCUUUGAGGGGAAAUGAAGAAAGAUUAGCAUUUUCCUGUAUAUGGGAAAUGGACAAAGAUGCAAAUGUAAUUAAUACUAGACAUUGUAAAUCUAUUAUUCGUUCGCGAGCAGCAAUGACUUACGACGAGGCUCAGUUGAAAAUCGACGAUGCUACUCAGCAAGAGCCAGUUGCAACAUCAUUGAGGAAUCUUAAUAGUUUAGCAAAGAAGUUAAAAAAGAGACGUUUAGAAAAUGGUGCACUAGUAUUGGCAUCUCCUGAAAUCCGGUUCGAAGUGGAUUCUGAAACCCACGAUCCCAUUGAUGUGGAAGCUAAAAAAUUGCGAGAAACUAAUUCCAUGGUUGAAGAAUUUAUGUUGCUAGCAAAUAUUUCAGUUGCUAAAAAGAUUGUAGAAGAAUUUCCAGAGUGUGCAGUAUUAAGAAGACAUCCUGAGCCACCGCUUGCCAAUUUUGAACCGCUUAUAAAAGCUGGAAAGAAUCAAGGCUUUGUUAUAAACACUAACAGUGGUAAAGAAUUGGCAGAAUCUUUAGACAGAUGUCAUAAAGAAAACAAUCCUUAUUUCAACACUAUGUUGAGAAUACUCGCUACACGUUGUAUGAUGCAAGCUGUGUAUUUCAUUAGUGGAAUGCAUCAACCAAGUGAAUACUUUCAUUACGGUUUAGCAUGCCCCAUUUAUACUCACUUUACAUCACCUAUUCGAAGGUAUGCGGAUGUAAUGGUACAUCGUUUAUUAGCAGUUUGCAUUGGAGCCGAUGCAACAUAUCCUGACUUAUUGGACAAGAAGAAAAAUCAUGCGUUAUGUCAUAAUCUAAAUUAUCGUAAUAGAAUGGCACAGUAUGCUGGACGAGCGUCUGUUGCACUUAACACACAUUUGUUCUUUAGAGGAAAAAUUCAGGAUGAAGAAGGGUACAUACUAUUUGUGCGAAAAAAUGCCUUACAAAUAUUAAUUCCAAAGUAUGGUCUGGAGGGAACUUUGUAUUUGAACGAAAACAAAGCAAACUCUAUAACAUUUAAAUACAACAACGAGGAUCAUUCACAAACUUGUGGAAAUGUUAUGUUCCGUACUUUUGAUCCUGUUAUAGUGCAAAUCAGUUUGGACAGAUCCAAUGUACAGCAUGAGAAAUUAGUAUUUAAACUGGUUAAACCAUAUAUUGCAGGUUUCAGUGUACCUUCAAUAAACACAGAAUGUUCAUCAGUUGUAUUAGUACAAAAUCCAAAAGAGGUACCAAAAAGAAAGAUGGACGUAGAAAAAACCUCAGAUAAGAACACUAAAAGUGGAGGAAGUAAAAAGAAAAGGAAAAAUAAGAAGCAUCAGUAGUACUAUGUACUAUUGUUUGCUGUGAAAACUUCUAUUUAUGACUAUUUUUUGUACAUUGAAAACACGUUGAGAUAACAUUGCUAAUGCACAGAAUUUACCAGAAAAAUAUCUGCAGAAACUAGGGACUAAACUACAACAGUGAAAUAAUAAAAAUGUAAAAAAUAACAUUUGGUUUGUACAAAGUUAAACCAGACUUCUUGAUGGUAUGUACUUAUAUCGUUUUUUACUGAAAUGAUUUAACAUAACAAUUAUAUUUGAACAGAAGAAUAAAUAAAGUACUAUAUUAUUAUUUAUUGUAAUACAAAUACCGGUUACAAUAAAAACGUAAAUAUGUGUAUAUGUAAUGUAACAAUCAUGUUUGAUAAAAAUUUUUUUAAUCAAUGGAAGUAUACAUGUGUACUGACAUCAUAAGUCUUACUUGCAAGAUAAGAAUUACAUACUUCCAUUAUUCAAAAGAAUAAUAAAUAAAAGUUAA